rnacentral:misc_RNA from 1 species
GGCGAGCACACACCCACAAAACCACUCUUAUUGGAACCACCACCACCGGAUGCCCCAAUACUUAAGUUCCUAAUCUGGGUGCUUAGCAGUCUCAUCUCAUAUAAAGUCUCUUUUACAUCUGAUGUUUGAUGUAGUGGCAAAAUGGUAUCAAUAUACCUACGAAUGGACUCAUCCAACUUAACAAGUUUCUUGGCAUAAAAAGCCUUCUUGACAUAGUUGUAUCGAUG